rnacentral:tRNA from 1 species
CCUUAGUAGCUCAGUGGUAGAGCGGUCGGCUGUUAACCGAUUGGUCGUAGGUUCAAGUCCUACCUGGGG